GCGAGAGUGGCGGAAAUGGUAGACGCACUGGACUUAGGAUCCAGCGGGCUUAUACCUGUGCGAGUUCGAGUCUCGCCUCUCGCACCA
rnacentral:tRNA from 1 species